GUAUAUAUACACAUAUAUACGUAUAUAUGUGUGUAUAUAUAUACACACAUAUAUACGCAUAUAUGUGUGUAUAUAUA
rnacentral:pre_miRNA from 13 species